GACGAACGCUGGCGGCGUGCCUAAUACAUGCAAGUUGAGCGCUGAAGGUUGGUACUUGUACCAACUGGAUGAGCAGCGAACGGGUGAGUAACGCGUGGGGAAUCUGCCUUUGAGCGGGGGACAACAUUUGGAAACGAAUGCUAAUACCGCAUAAAAACUUUAAACACAAGUUUUAAGUUUGAAAGAUGCAAUUGCAUCACUCAAAGAUGAUCCCGCGUUGUAUUAGCUAGUUGGUGAGGUAAAGGCUCACCAAGGCGAUGAUACAUAGCCGACCUGAGAGGGUGAUCGGCCACAUUGGGACUGAGACACGGCCCAAACUCCUACGGGAGGCAGCAGUAGGGAAUCUUCGGCAAUGGACGAAAGUCUGACCGAGCAGCGCCGCGUGAGUGAAGAAGGUUUUCGGAUCGUAAAACUCUGUUGGUAGAGAAGAACGUUGGUGAGAGUGGAAAGCUCAUCAAGUGACGGUAACUACCCAGAAAGGGACGGCUAACUACGUG
rnacentral:rRNA from 1 species